GAUGAAGAACGUAGCGAAAUGCGAUAAGUAGUGUGAAUUGCAGAAUUCAGUGAAUCAUCGAAUCUUUGAACGCACAUUGCGCCCCUUGGUAUUCCAUGGGGCAUGCCUGUUCGAGCGUCAUUUGUACCUUCAAGCUUUGCUUGGUGUUGGGUGUUUGUCCAUUCUCUUGCAGAGGGACUCGCCUUAAAGUAAUUGGCAGCCAGUGUUUUGGUUUUGAAGCGCAGCACAAGUCGCGAUUCAAAGCUAUACGCCCGCUUCCACAAGCCUUUUUCACUUUUGACCUCGGAUCAGGUAGGGAUACCCGCUGAACUUAAGCAUAUCAAUAGGAGGA
rnacentral:misc_RNA from 1 species